ensembl:lncRNA novel transcript
GGUGAUUCCAGAUGCCUGCAGGUGAUCAGAUAUCUAAGUAACCCUCUUGCCACCAAAUACCACACACACUUCAGUUACUCUUUCAAAAAAAAUUAUCAAGCAACUGCUCUGUGCCAGAGACUCUUCUAGUCCUGAAGAUACAGUGAUAAAUAAGAUAGAGACAGUUCCUGCUGCCAUUCAGCUUGGUUCUAGUGAGAAAGACAGAUAUAUUAAAAAAUAACUUGACAUUACAUUUUCAAGAAUUUAAGUACUUUAUUGGAAAAUAUAACUGUGUAAGAAGACAGAUAUUGACAAGGACACUUAGUUCUUGUAGCGAGGAAGUAUAGACUUAACUCUUAUUAGUAAAAGAGUGUUUAAGAAUAAAAAUAUAUCAAUACCCCUAACUUUGGAGACAAACUGAAGUACUGAAUGUACUUCUAUUUUUGAUUUUUCCCUUAGCAUGGUGAGUUGUUUGGGAAAUGAUUCAAUAGUUAUUUGUAGUUUCUAAAUUCUCAGCAGCAGUUGCCUCCUGAUAUGUGUCACUAUAUAUUCUGAGUUGACAUCUGUUAUCUGAAUCACCAAAAUAGUGCCUUGUUUUAAAAUUUAUCCACUAUUGGCUUAUGUUUUAUCUUACUCUAGGCCAUGUUAUCACUACAUGUGACAUCUCUGUAUAUGUGUUUGUGAAACUGGGAUAAAGUUGGCAAAACUUGAGAUAGAGGAAACUAUCUAUGAAACAUGUUUUGCAUUAGUAGAACAGGAGGCAUAAGCACAUUUGGAAUAGAAAGAACAGAGAAGGCGAUACUGGAGAAAUAGGAUCUCACAAAGGAAAGUAGAAUGCACGUAGAGAACUUAAAUGCAAUUUAGGCAAUAACCUAUGCAAUUUGGACAACUAUAGACCUACUAUGGCUUAUGGUUUCUACCAACUAGACUUAAGCUUCUUUUGGAAUAAAGCCUUUGCCUCAUGGAGGAAGUCAGUUAAUGUUUGUUGAUUGUGAUUUUGAUGAUGACAUUCAUGAUGAUAUUCUAUUUGGGGAAUGUUUUUCAAAGUGGGGCUUUGACCUGACAAACUGUUAUACCGAUAGAAAAAUCAACAUUCUCUCACUGACACCUUAGGUAUUUGACAGAUAUCUGAAAGAAAAAUAAUUUGAUAUGACCAAGCAAUAGUGAAGUGUAGGAUAUUGAUCUCCAGAGAUUUGUGAGACUAAAAAUUGUGCAAACGAAUAAAAAAAAAUCAUAGUCUAGAUUAUCCCAAUGUUGAACAAUAUACUUAUGUUUACACAUAAUGUUGGAAAAGUCAUCAGUGCAAUUUCUACAAUGCACUGAUGAUAAUGAUAAUGAAAUUUUAGUGACAAUGUGAUAAUGAAAUUUUAGAAGAAAUUAUAAUUAGUUUUUCAUCUCUCUUAAAUGGAUGUGUUGUUUUUUCUGUCCUCUUCCUUCUCCAUUUAUGCCUGUUCUGGUUCCUUGUUGACUUGGGGAAAUAUACAUGUGGGUAAUAAGGGUGAACAUUUCCGCAGAAACAAAGCAGGUCUACUAUGCUUCAGCAGGCUUAACUCUCAUUUGUUUAAUGAGGGUUUGGAAAGAUGGGGGGGUUUCCUACAUAUAGUCAAUGCAUACUUAAGAACACCUACUAUGUGCUGGCUUCAUUUUAGUCUCUAGGAACUGGGAGACAUAUUGAGCCAUCUGUAUCUACAUAUAUUAAAAUUGUUGUACCGAAGAGUAUUUCAAGGUCUUCUAUCUGUUUUCUUUUGGAUAGAAGCAGUCAGUGCAAACCAGCAUGGUGAAUGAGCUUGAUUGUAUUUAAGAGAAAAAAUUCUCACUUUUGGGGUUUUUGCUACCAAUUUUAAGAAUGGGGAGCUGUUUUCAGAACUAAAAGUUUGCCAGCGCACUAAUAAGAUGUAAAAUGAAGAAAAAUUAAAAAAUAGCUCUAUGGUUUCAAAGAAUGUGGAGCUACUUUGGCUUCAUCGGCAGAGUAAGUCUGUUAAUAACCCCGAAGCUCUCCCCUUGUUGAAAUAACACAAAUUAGCGUUUAACCUGGGAGGAAGACACGUGAAGUUAUUUAACAUUUACAUAAAAUUAUGGAGUAAACUCCAAACAGGUCGCCUCCAAAAUGUAUAAUUACACUCAGCAGUCCUGUCAGCAUACAUAGAAACAAUUUUAUUUCCAAUCAUCUUCUGCUUUUAUUCACUCAGGAAUGUAUCAUUAAAAUUUCCACAGAACAAUGAACCUUAAUAGGCGCUAAUGCAAUUGUGAAUUAUGGUAAUUGUUACCUAAAUUAAUCUCUGUACUUUCCAUUCCUUAUUGCCCUGUGCAUAAGGAGUGUGAAAAAGAUAAUGUUGAAACUGACAUUUGUAUAAAUGGUAUAAAAAUUUAUCUUAUUUAAUAAAAAUUUAAUAUAAGAACUUGCUACUUUGUAAAGUAGUUUACUCAGAAAAAAAUGUUAGAUUUGUUGCAAGUUGGGUUUAUAAAAUCUUUAAUUUGUGAAAUUUGGGAGGGAAACUGGCAGUUGACUCAUUAUGGUUAUCUUUGGGGUAUGUGUAUGCACCGAGGUAUCGGGAUGGUACAUGUAUGUUCCUCCGUGCACAUAUUGCCAGGGCAGUGUAUGCAUUCGUACCCUUAUCUGUGUGCCUGGCCUCUUUCUGUGUGUUUAUGUUUACUCAUUUACGUAAACUACCCUCUUGGUGUAAUAAAAUCCACCAUUAUGUGUUGAAUUGUGUUCCUCUCAAAUUCAUAUGCUGAAGUCUCCUAGUUCUUCAGAAUGUGACCAUAUUUGAAGAUAGGACCUUUAAAGAGGUGAUUAAGUUAAAAUUAGGCCGUAUGUUUGGGCUCUAAUCCAGUGUGACUGGUGUCCAUCUAAGAAGAAAUUAGGACAGAGACAUAGAGGGAAGACCAUUGGAAGACACAGGGAUAAGAUGGCUGUCUACAAGCCAAGGAGAGAGGCUCCUGAAGAAACCGGCCCUGCCAAUACCAUCUUGUCAGAUAUAUGGCCUCCAGAACUGUGGGAAAAUAAAUUUCUGUUGUUUAAGCCACA